rnacentral:rRNA from 2 species
UGUGGCGCAGCCUGAUGCAGCCAUGCCGCGUGUGUGAAGAAGGCCUUAGGGUUGUAAAGCACUUUCAGCGAGGAGGAAGGCAUCACACUUAAUACGUGUGGUGAUUGACGUUACUCGCAGAAGAAGCACCGGCUAACUCCGUGCCAGCAGCCGCGGUAAUACGAA